rnacentral:rRNA from 1 species
CCUAGUCUCAGUUCGGAUUGGAGUCUGNAACCCGACUCCAUGAAGCUGGAUUCGCUAGUAAUCGCGCAUCAGCCACGGCGCGGUGAAUACGUUCCCGGGCCUUGUACACACCGCCCGUCAAGCCAUGGGAGCCGGGAGUGCCUGAAGUGCGUGAGCGCAAGCAGCGCCCUAAGGUAAAACCGGUGACUGGGGCUAAGUCGUAACAAGGUAUC